UUUCCGUAGGUGAACCUGCGGAAGGAUCAUUGACACACAUCCUAACCGAUGCUUGUGCCAACAAGCAGACCCAGCGAACCAUUCUCCUAUCACUUGAGGGGCUGCAUCGCGAGGUGCAGCUGUCGGCGGUCGGGCCCUUGCUUCAGGGGCCGGAGUCCUUGCUGGGUUCACCGUUGCGGGUGAGCACCGGCCGUCCGACGGGGGCCGCUCUUGGGCCUCGCACACGGGAGAGUGCGGGGGCGGCGUUUCCCACUCCAGCUGUCCCUUCCGGGGCAGCUGCGCAACCAACCAAACACUAUGCAAAAACCGACGGAAGACCGUUCCUUUGCGGGCGCCUUCGGGAGCCCUGCCUCGGAUCAAAACAAACUAAAGACAACUCUCAACAACGGAUAUCUUGGCUCUC
rnacentral:misc_RNA from 1 species